rnacentral:rRNA from 1 species
UACAGAGGGGGCAAGCGUUGUCCGGAAUUACUGGGCGUACAGCGCGCGCAGGCGGUGGCUGACGUGGCGUGUGACAAGCGGGGGCUCAACCCCCGAGGGCCACGGUAAACGGGGCGACUGGAGGCAGGGAGAGGGAUGUGGAAUGCCCGGUGGAGCGGUGAAAUGCGUAGAGAUCGGGCGGAACACCAGCGGCGAAGGCGGCAUCCUGGCCCUGACCUGACGCUCAAGUGCGAGAGCGUGGGGAGCAAACCGG